rnacentral:misc_RNA from 1 species
UCUCCGUUGGUGAACCAGCGGAGGGAUCAUUACCGAGUUUACAACUCCCAAACCCCUGUGAACAUACCAUUUGUUGCCUCGGCGGUGCCUGCUUCGGCAGCCCGCCAGAGGACCCAAACCCUUGAUUUUAUACAGUAUCUUCUGAGUAAACGAUUAAAUAAAUCAAAACUUUCAACAACGGAUCUCUUGGUUCUG